rnacentral:rRNA from 1 species
UACGGAGGGUGCGAGCGUUGUCCGGAAUCACUGGGCGUAAAGGGCGCGUAGGCGGCCUGAUAAGUAGGGGGUGAAAUCCUGCGGCUUAACCGCAGGGCUGCCUUCUAAACUGUCAGGCUCGAGCACAGUAGAGGCAGGUGGAAUUCCCGGUGUAGCGGUGGAAUGCGUAGAGAUCGGGAAGAACAUCAGUGGCGAAGGCGGCCUGCUGGGCUGUUGCUGACGCUGAGGCGCGACAGCGUGGGGGAGCAAACAGGG